AUUUGAGUGGAGAAUGUUUUAGCUAAUGCUAGCUAGGUUAGAUAAUGUUGAUUACUUUAUUUAAGUGGGGAAUGUUUUAGCUAGCAUUAGCUAGGUUGGCUAAUCUUAACUACUGUAUUUUAGUGGGGAAUGUUUUAGCUAAUGUUAGCUGGGUUAGCUAUUGUUAACUACUGUGUUUCAGUGUGAAUUUUUUUAGGUAAUGCUAGCUAGGUUAGCUAAUGCUAACUACUGUAUUUUAGUGGGGAAUGUUUUAGCUAAUGUUAGCUAGGUUAGCUAAUGUUUACUUUUAUUUCAGUGGGCAACAUUUUGUGGGGAAAUUACGGUGUGAACGAGCAGCUCAGUUUCCUCUGCUGGAAAGCUCAGAAGCACUGCACCAUUAAAAUAGCAAUCUACCAAACUCUGAGCACACCUGGUACCUAACUGGUUUAUUUCACGUUAUGCCCUAAACACACAUGAUUAAUUACGACGGUAUGUGCCUUUUUGCGUGUUUUGAUCUAAGUGUACUUUUCUCAUCCUCACGAUAGCAAAGAGACACUGACGCCCUACAUUUUCGAAAAAUUGGGGGUUGUAAAUGAAAAUAAGCUUUCAAAAAACAAAGAUUUUACUAGCUAAGUUUGAACAUCAUUAGCUGAACCAUACCAGAUUGCAUGAUUGUUCCAUUAAGCACAGUACUCACCAUGGGAAUUGCAGGGUCAUUAAUUCUCCCUCUGACCUUCAUCUGAUCUCCCUCUGUAAAAGUGAGAAAUGAGAAGUGAUAAGUGAGAAAAGAACAUGUAGAAUAGUCGUUAUCAGUUCUACCUUUGGUGCAAGUGUUGUUUAAUGUUGUCCUUUAACACAAACAAAAAACCUGACAUGCAAAGUAUCAUGUCCCAUGACUUUUGCCAUGUCCCACAGAAGUUGCUUGACUGUUUACAAGGACAAUUCUAGCCAGACACUGCCAGUCACAAUCAUUACAACAGACUGCAUGGUCUACUGUGGGUGAUAAUGCCUUGGAUGGGAAAACAUCAUGUAUUCCCAUCUGUCUGCACCCACUAUAAGACCUUGGAGCGUUUUCCCUCUUGGUUUGUUUUAGUUUCCCAUGAGUCACAACAAACCUAUUUGGCAUAUUCUCUAUGCUGAUUGGUCAGAUCUGUCUUGGGCGGAGCAAGAAAGUAAAUACAAGAAGAAGCAGAAGGUCCUGUGUUCCGAAUCAAUAAUAAUGAUGAACAGGAGGAACAGCAGCCCCAGACCUACAGCCAGCAGAAUCCAGAUCAGCAUCUCAUCUCUGUAGUGAGAGAAGACACAUGGUAUUAAACCUGAACUGUAAGCAUUCGAUUGGUUUUAUCCACAAGUACCCCAGACCCCCCUGCCCCAGGACAACCCUUGGUCUUUACUAAGACCUUAAGGACCCGGGUGGCUCGCGCACUGCCAUUUUCACAGGAUUCAGGUCUUUCAGUGACGGUGAGGUGAACAGUAACUCCCACAUCUCCUGCACUGAACCAGUACCAGCCAGCAUCACUCUUCUGCAGCCGAAUCAUCUCCACUCUGAAGGAUCUAUUGUUCUUAUCAUCACUGAUGUUCACUGUUGAAUCCUGGAAGGUGUAGCAGCUCCAGUCUUUAAAUCUGCACCACUUCUUCUCUUCAUUCUUAUAUCCAGAGCUGUAGAAACCCUGGACACUGACUCUGCCCCCUUCCUGACCAAUCACUCUACUGUUCUCCACCCACAGACCAUGAUCUGAAUGAAGGAGCAGAGAAUGAGUGGUGGAAACUCAACAAAUCAUCUCCAUCAUCAGAGAAACACGUCUUACAAGCCUUAAACUACAGUGAAGAUGUUCUGAUUCACACAGAGAGACUCUGACUUACCUGAACUGACCGUCAGAUACACAGAAUACCUGACAUCUGGAGUUCCAUAACCACCGAUUUCCACAGCACACCAGUACCAUCCAGAGUCAGAGUCUUGGAGGUUCUUCAGAUCCACAGUAAACAUAUUCUGGGAUGGA